UACAGAGGUCCCAAGCGUUGUUCGGAUUCAUUGGGCGUAAAGGGUGCGUAGGCGGCGCGGUAAGUCGGGUGUGAAAUCUCGGGGCUUAACUCCGAAACUGCAUUCGAUACUGCCGUGCUUGAGGACUGGAGAGGAGACUGGAAUUUACGGUGUAGCAGUGAAAUGCGUAGAGAUCGUAAGGAAGACCAGUGGCGAAGGCGAGUUUCUGGACAGUUACUGACGCUGAGGCACGAAGGACAGGGGAGCAAACGGG
rnacentral:rRNA from 1 species